rnacentral:rRNA from 1 species
UUAGGCAAGAGUGGGGAUUACCAUGGAACGAUGCAUAUCCGCGUAGUGCUUCAGAUCAAAGAGGGGCAUAUCUGCCUUAUCGUUCCAAGAUAGUCACAGGUGGAUUAGCUAGUUGGUGUGUAAUGGUCAACAAGCCGCCAUCAUAGCUGGUUUGAGAAGAUGAUCAAUCACACUGGAAACUGAGACACGGUCCAGACUCCUACGGGUGUCAGCAGUGGGGUGUGUUGCUCAAUGGGCGCAAGCGUGAUGCAGCCAUGCCGCGUGUGAGAAGAAGGCUCUCGACUUGUAAAGCACUUUCAGUCGUGAGGAAGCUGGAGUAGCUAAUAGCUGCAUCAUUUGACGUUAGCGACAGAAGAAGCACCGUCUAACUCCGUGCCAGCAGCCGCGGUAAUACGGAGGGUGCGAGCGUUAAUCGGAAUUACUGGGCGUAAAGCGCAUGCAGGUGGUUAGUUAAGUCAGAUGUGAAAGCCCGGGGCUCAACCUCGGAACUGCAUUUGAGACUGGCUGACUAGAGUACUGUAGAGGGGGGUAGAAUUUCAGGUGUAGCGGUGAAAUGCGUAGAGAUUCUGAAGCGAAGACCAGUCACGAAGGCGGCCCCCUGGACAGAUACUGACACUCAGAUGCGAAAGCGUGGGGAGCAAACAGGAUUAGAUACUCCUGGUAGUCCACGCCGUAAACGAUGUCGACUCGAAGAGAUGUGGCUCUUCAGCCGUGCCUUCGGUAGCUAACACAUAACUAGACCGCCUCCAGAAUACGGUCGCGAGAUUUAUACUCAAAGAAUAGUAGACGGGGCCACACACGCGGAGGAACAGGGGAUUAAUGAGUUGCAACGCGAAGACUUAUACGUUCUCUUGACAUCCAGAGAACUUAGCAGAGAUGCUUUGGAGCCUUCGGGAAAUCUGAGACAGGUGAUGCAAGGCUGUCGUCAGAUCGUGUUAUGAAAGGGUGGGUUAAGUCCCGCAACGAGCGCAACCCUUAUCCUUGGUUGCCAGCGAGUAAUGUCGGGAACUCCAGGGAGAAUGCCGGUGAUAAACCGGAGGAAGGUGGGGACGACGUCAAGUCAUCAUGGCCCUUACGAGUAGGGCUACACACGUGCUACAAUGGCGCAUACAGAGGGCAGCAAGCUAGCGAUAGUGAGCGAAUCCCAAAAAGUGCGUCGUAGUCCGGAUUGGAGUCUGCAACUCGACUCCAUGAAGUCGGAAUCGCUAGUAAUCGUAGAUCAGAAUGCCACGGUGAAUACGUUCCCGGGCCUUGUACACACCGCCCGUCACACCAUGGGAGUGGGCUGCAAAAGAAAGUGGGUAGUUAACCUUCGGGAGGACGCUCAACCACUUGUGUCGGUACAAU